rnacentral:rRNA from 1 species
GACGAACGUUGGCGGCGUGCUUAACACAUGCAAGUCGAACGGUGACCUCGAGAGCUUGCUCUUGAGUGAUCAGUGGCGAACGGGUGAGUAACACGUGAGUAACCUGCCCCAGACUCUGGAAUAACCCCGGGAAACCGGCGCUAAUACCGCAUACGCAGGAGAGCUGCAUGGCUACUACUUGGAAAGUUUUUCGGUCUGGGAUGGACUCGCGGCCUAUCAGCUUGUUGGUGAGGUAACGGCUCACCAAGGCGACGACGGGUAGCCGGCCUGAGAGGGCGACCGGCCACACUGGGACUGAGACACGGCCCAGACUCCUACGGGAGGCAGCAGUGGGGAAUAUUGCACAAUGGGCGAAAGCCUGAUGCAGCGACGCCGCGUGAGGGAUGACGGCCUUCGGGUUGUAAACCUCUUUCAGCAGGGAAGAAGCGAAAGUGACGGUACCUGCAGAAGAAGCACCGGCUAACUACGUGCCAGCAGCCGCCGUAAGAC